rnacentral:rRNA from 1 species
GGUCAAGCGGUUAAGCGCAUACGGUGGAUGCCUAGGCAGCAGGAGGCGAUGAAGGACGUUGUAGCGUGCGAUAAGCUUCGGGGAGCCCGCAAACAGGCUUUGAUCCGGAGAUCUCCGAAUGGGGAAACCCACUUGGCAUAAGUCAGGUACUGCAUACUGAAUACAUAGGUAUGCAGGGCAAACCCGGGGAACUGAAACAUCUAAGUAACCGGAGGAAAAGAAAUCAAUUGAGAUUCCCUCAGUAGCGGCGAGCGAAAGGGGAACAGCCCUUAAGCUUCUUUUGUGUUAGUGGAACGGUCUGGGAAGUCCGGCCACAGAAGGUGAUAGCCCUGUACACGAAAGCGCAAUUGAAGUGAAAUCGAGUAGGACGGGACACGAGAUAUC